CUACGGGAUGCUCCAGUGAGGAAUAUUGCACAAUGGGGGGAACCCUGAUGCAGCAACGCCGCGUGGAGGAUGACGCAUUUCGGUGUGUAAACUCCUUUUAUAUGUCAAGAAAAUGACGGUAGCAUAUGAAUAAGCACCGGCUAACUCCGUGCCAGCAGCCGCGGUAAUACGGAGGGUGCAAGCGUUACUCGGAAUCACCGGGCGUAAAGGACGCGUAGGCGGGUUGGAAAGUCAGGUGUGAAAUCCUACAGCGUAACUGUAGAACUGCACUUGAAACUUCUAAUCUAGAGUAUGGGAGGGGGAGAUGGAAUUAGUGGUGUAGGGGUAAAAUCCGUAGAUAUCACUAGGAAUACCUAAAGCGAAGGCGAUCUCCUGGAACAUUACUGACGCUAAGGCGUGAAAGCGUGGGGAGCAAACAGGAUUAGAUACCCGUGUAGUC
rnacentral:rRNA from 1 species